rnacentral:rRNA from 1 species
AUACGUAGGUGACAAGCGUUAUCCGGAUUUACUGGGCGUAAAGGGCGUGUAGGCGGUCUUGCAAGUCAGAAGUGAAAUUCCUGAGCUCAACUCGGGCGCUGCUUCUGAAACUGCAGGACUUGAGUGCUGGAGGGGAUAGCGGAAUUCCUAGUGGAGCGGUAAAAUGCGCAGAUAUUAGGAAGAACACCGGUGGCGAAGGCGGCUUUCUGGACAGUAACUGACGCUGAGGCGCGAAAGCGUGGGGAGCAAACAGGAUUAGAUCCCCUGGUAGUCCACGCCGUAAACGAUGAAUACUAGAUGUAGGGGGUAUCGACUCCCUCUGUGCCGCAGUUAACACAAUAAGUAUUCCGCCUGGGGAGUACGGCCGCAAGGUUGAAACUUAAAUGAAUUGGCGGGG